rnacentral:rRNA from 1 species
UAAAUUGAGAGUUUGAUCCUGGCUCAGGAUGAACGCUGGCGGCGUGCUUAACACAUGCAAGUCGAGCGAUGAAGUUUCCUUCGGGAAACGGAUUAGCGGCGGACGGGUGAGUAACACGUGGGUAACCUGCCUCAUAGAGUGGAAUA